AUGUUAAGGGUUGAAGGCUGGGACUUCAGUUUUGGACCCCCUCACAGCUCGGUAGAGGAGCCUGGGCAGGAUGCUCCUGUACCUGUCCUCCUCCCUCUUCUCCAGCAGGUAGGCGAUGAUUUCCUCCACCUCCGAUUUAACAUCGAAGUAGAGCUCGGUCGCGGCCCGCCGGUCGGUGAGCACGUCCUGCCGCCCCCUCGUCGGGAUCGGCUUCCCGAACCGGUAGUAGAACCGGCCGGGAAUCUUCGGAACUGCGCCGGGGAAGAUCACCUCCUGAGUGUCCCUGCAGCAGAAACCAACCUUAGCCUCAGUCCAUGGAGAGAACGAAUGUAUGUUCCUAGCUACUUCCUUCCUUCGUCCCAUAAUAUAAGAACAGUAUUAGUGUCAAAAAUGUGUUUAUAUUAA
rnacentral:rRNA from 1 species